GAAGAGGCAGUAGAGGAGAAGAGGAGAAGAGGCAAUAGAGGAGAAGAGGAGAAGAGGAGAAGAGGCAGUAGUGGAGAAGAGGAGAAGAGGCAGUAGUGGAGAAGAGGAGAAGAGGAGAAGAGGAGAAAAGGCAGUAGUGGAGAAGAGGAGAAGAGGAGAAGAGGCAGUAGUGGAGAAGAGGAGAAGAGGCAGUAGAGGAGAAGAGGAGAAAAGGCAGUAGUGGAGAAGAGGAGAAGAGGAGAAGAGGCAGUAGUGGAGAAGAGGAGAAGAGGCAGUAGUGGAGAAGAUGAGAAGAGGCAGUAGUGGAGAAGAGGCAGUAGAGGAGAAGAGGCAGUAGAGGAGAAGAGGAGAAGAGGCAGUAGUGGAGAAGAGGAGAAGAGGAGAAGAGGCAGUAGUGGAAAAGAGGAGAAGAGGCAGUAGAGGAGAAGAGGGGAAGGGGCAGUAGUGGAGAAAAGGAGAAGGGGCAGUAGUGGAGAAAAGGAGAAGAGGCAGUAGAGGAGAAGAGGAGAAGAGGCAGUAGAGGAGAAGAGGAGAAGAGGCACUAGUGGAGAAGAGGCAGUAGUGGAGAAGAGGCAGUAGAGGAGAAAAGG
ensembl:lncRNA